ensembl:rRNA 5S_rRNA 5S ribosomal RNA
GUCUAUGGCCAUGCUACCCUGAACAAGCCCGAUCCCGUCUGAUCUCAGAAGCUAAGCAGGGUUGGGCCUGGUUAGUACUUGGAUGGGAGACCACCUAGGAAGACCAGGUGCUGUAGGCA